CGUGGGCUCAGGUGGUCGACACAUCAAAAUCAAUUCUUGAUCAGCUAGCAUUACAACGCCGGGAAAAGCCGGAAACCAUAUUCGCAGGAUGCCGCAUCUCGAGAAGUCAGUCACCUUCAGGAAGUAGUUAUCUUCCUGAGGAUCGUUGGGAUCUGGCCUGAUCUGGCAGUGAAUGUCGGAGAUCGGCGGCUGAUCCUGCGCCGCUGCACUGAAUGUCAGAGACCUCGUAAUCCUGGGCAACGGUGGCGGCAAUCUGAAACAAUACCACUGUCAUUCAUCUACCCAGUUUUGCUCGAACGAUAUUCAUGACGUUCUGGUAUGUAAUUCGUUUUUAUGUACGGAUUGCUCUUUUUCUAACUGAAAUGUAAUAAUAUAGGCCGUUUAUUAAGAAAGAGUUUGGAUAUCAUUGUAAUAUAAGUUUAUUGUUGGAGAAUGAUAAUUUUUGAAAAGAAAAAAAAUAUCAAUUAAUUUGUAUCUCAAUUAAAAAUGAUCAGUCUCUCAUAAUUGCCUUUACGUGAAUAUUAAAUGGUAUAAUUAUUAUUAAUUUUAUUAAAAAAAUAAUGAUCUAUAUAUAGAUAUAUUUCAGUUCGUAAUGUAACAGAUAAUGACUUUAAAAAAUUAAAAUAUUAAAAUUAGAUUAUAAGAUAAAGAAAU